rnacentral:rRNA from 1 species
AACGAACGCUGGCGGCGUGCCUAACACAUGCAAGUCGCGGGAGAAAGCCGCAAGGCGAGUAAACCGGCGCACGGGUGCGUAACACGUGGAUAACCUACCUCGAUGACUGGGAUAACUGGCCGAAAGGCUUGCUAAUACCAGAUAAGCCCCCGACCUCUUUGGAGGAAGAGGGAAAAGGCGGCCUCUGUAUACAAGCUGUCACAUCGAGAUGGGUCCGCGGCCCAUCAGCUCGUGGCGGGGUAAUGGCCCACCAAGGCAACGACGGGUAGCUGGUCUGAGAGGAUGAUCAGCCACACUGGAACUGAGACACGGUCCAGACUCCUACGGGAGGCAGCAGUGGGGAAUCUUGCGCAAUGGGCGAAAGCCUGACGCAGCAACGCCGCGUGUGUGAUGAAGGUCUUCGGAUCGUAAAGCACUGUCGGGAGGGAAGAUACGCUUCACAACAACAAGGU